GUGCCAGCAGCCGCGGUAAUACGUAGGUGGCGAGCGUUGUCCGGAAUUACUGGGUGUAAAGGGCGUGUAGGCGGGUAUUUAAGUCAGAUGUGAAAUUCCCGGGCUUAACCUCGGCGCUGCAUUUCAAACUGUAUUUCUUGAGUGCUGGAGAGGAAAGCAGAAUUCCUAGUGUAGCGGUGAAAUGCGUAGAUAUUAGGAGGAAAACCAGUGGCGAAGGCGGCUUUCUGGACAGUAACUGACGCUGAG
rnacentral:rRNA from 1 species